AGCUGGUAGGGGGCUAGGUAUUGGGGUGUCUAGCUGGUAGGGGGCUAGGUAUUGGGGUGUCUAGCUGGUAGGGGCUAGGUAUUGCGGUGUCUAGCUGGUAGGGGGCUAGGUAUUGCGGUGUCUAGCUGGUAGGGGCUAGGUAUUGCGGUGUCUAGCUGGUAGGGGGCUAGGUAUUGCGGUGUCUAGCUGGUAGGGGCUAGGUAUUGCGGUGUCUAGCUGGUAGGGGGCUAGGUAUUGCGGUGUCUAGCUGGUAGGGGGCUAGGUAUUGCGGUGUCUAGCUGGUAGGGGCUAGGUAUUGCGGUGUCUAGCUGGUAGGGGCUAGGUAUUGCGGUGUCUAGCUGGUAGGGGCUAGGUAUUGCGGUGUCUAGCUGGUAGGGGGCUAGGGUUGGUUUGGGCACCAGAGUUUGGCAAAGUGUCCUCCAUGUUGGUACCAAACAUUCCAUGACUAUAAUGUACAUUUUCUUUCUAAGUGGAAUGUGAUAUGUUAAGAAAGAGAAUGUGUAGUCUGUAUUGCUCGUCUCCUAUAGCUUGUAAUGCUAUUACACUAUAUGCUCCUAGCAAAUGAGGAAUCCUCUCCCUAGAAUACUUUACAUUGUCAUUUUAAUCCUCACUAGAAUGAAAUAGUUUGGUACCAGCAUGGCGCUUAUCAUUAUGAAAACACAAUCUCAAAUUACGUUGUAUUUUUAUUCAGUAUAUCAAUUGCGCUCUGUCCCAUAGCCUAGUCUUUACCUCGUUAUGUUCUCUUCUUCCUCACUGUCCUGCCCUAUCCAGACACUCAGGUCCUCUUCUCAGGACAUACUGUACCGUUAACACAGAGAUCUCCAACUCUAGUUGUGGAGAGCCACUGUUAGUGCAGGAUUCUGUUCUUUCCUAACACUAACACACACGUUUCAAAUAGUCAACUGAUCACAGUCUUCAGUCUCGACCUUGAUUUUGGUUCAAUCCGGUGUGUUGGUGCUCGGCUGGAACAAUGCCUGCGUACCCAGUGGCUGUCCAAGACUGAUGUUGGAGAUCCUUGUAUUACAAGGUUUUGGGUACAAAAAUGUUACCGAAGUGGGCAUCUGAGGUAAAAACACUGAAAUGUCUACUGAAGGAAUUACUUUUUAUUUUGUGAAGUUUACAUUGUUGUUGAGGUUUAUUUUUGCUCUGAUCAUAAUAUAUUGAAGGGAUGAAUGGUUUUAUUUCUUAGAUUUGUUUUGUGAUUUCAUAUUUUACUGUUCUUCAAUCCCUCAGUAGGGUUGGACUUGCUGAAGUAUGAUAAGGCAACUGCUGUGUUUUUGUAGAUACAAUAAUGAAGAUAUUGGGUGACGGUUUAACUAAAUGGGAAAUAGUGUAUAUGCAGAUGUUAGUGCACCACCCCCUGUAUCCUUCCUACUGUACUUUAAAGUAACUGUCCAGUGAAAAUCACACUUUUAAAAGUUCCUGUUCUGUUAACUCCUACCCAAAUAAUGGUGUUGACUCAUCCGAUACUCAGAUUUUUGUCAAAACCAUAAAUUGGAGAGAAAAAAAACAGUUAAAAAAAUGCUAGCUAUUUCCUCAGAGGAUGAGCUGGCCAAUCAGUGGUCUCCUCACAGUAAUAUUUUUAAUAACCAGUAUACACCAUUCCAACACAGAAUAGCUGUUUAUUUGUAUUUUUAUCGUACUUAAUUAUUUAUUUAUUUUAAUUGGAAGGAACUAUUUGUCAUAUUGUGCAUAAUUAUAGGUCAUAUUUCAUAGAAAUAUUAACACGGGACCGUUACUUUAAUGAACAUAGAACUACUUCUGUGCUGUCACCACUACAUUUUGGAGUUGGUGGCUUUGGUAUUAUAACAUCAGGACAGGUGGGAUCUUUUCUUACAAAUCAGAAAAGGACUAGUUCAUUUUAAAUUGACACUUAAUAAUUUUUUUCUCUAUGAAUGAGAUAUAGACCAGUCAAUGUGGGUACUGUGGCAUGCUCAUAGACAUUUCUGGAAGAUUGAAUGUAUUUAGUGCAAGAAUAGAAUAUAGGUACAGCCAUGUGAGAAUGAGUGAGUGGAUGGAGGAAUGAGCUGACAGGACAAAUGAAUGAAUGAUUUGACUAAUUCCAUGAUGAUCUAAAUGUAUUAAUGAAUAGUUAGUUAUUGAUUGUGGACAUGUGCCUAAAGUUCAGUACAGUAAACCAAGUCAUGACUUCUAAUACAGCAAUGAUCAAAAACUAGAUUUACAUUGUUGAUUUACAUUGUUGGGUAGUAGUUACAACACAGGCAUAUUAUUAUUUUUAAUGUACGGUUACUCUGUAAUGUCACUAUGCUGUCUACUGGACAUUUGCAGUCUUGCUACACUACCACGGUUGGUUCCUGAUGUGUCAACUCUCAGAUGUUAUGUAGCUGACACUGGUUUACUGAGACUCACUGAGACAUGACUUUAAAUGAGCCUCACCUUCUGCCUAUUAACUACCAUUAUGAUCCAUCCGUGUUCUGAAUGUUUGUCCAGAUACUUGUGUAUUUAUCUGAUCCUUCUAUUGGGUAGUGUACUGUUACUGGGUAUUAUCUAGCACAGGGGUGUCCAACCCUUCUUCUGGAGAGCUACCGAGUGUGCAGGCUUUUGUUUUAGCCCUGCUCUAACACCUAAUUCAACUGCUCAUCAGGGCCUUGCAUGACUAGCUGAUAGCUUCUGAUUUGGUCGAAUCGAGUAGGGAUGGAAUGGAAGCCUGCACAGUGCACACCCAGUAGGUCUCCAGGAUGGCUGUCCUUCUGGAGGUCAAGGGUCAAAUCUGUUUGUCACUACAUAUGUCUGACAUGUUACAAAGCUGUUAUUUUGUCUGAGGGAUUUUUACGACUUAUCUCUGAAGUAAUUUAUAGAUCUAUUGUUACUGCUAUUAUUCAAUAAAUGGAUGCAUUUCUUUGCUCUCUCUUGAAUGUCAAA